AGCGGACCAAAGAAGAGCUUGCUCUUCGGCGGUUAGCGGCGGACGGGUGAGUAACACGUAGGCAACCUGCCUGUACGACUGGGAUAACUCCGGGAAACCGGAGCUAAUACCGGAUACGUUUUUCAGACCGCAUGGUCUGAAAGAGAAAGACCUUUGGUCACGUACAGAUGGGCCUGCGGCGCAUUAGCUAGUUGGUGGGGUAACGGCCUACCAAGGCGACGAUGCGUAGCCGACCUGAGAGGGUGAUCGGCCACACUGGGACUGAGACACGGCCCAGACUCCUACGGGAGGCAGCAGUAGGGAAUCUUCCGCAAUGGACGAAAGUCUGACGGAGCAACGCCGCGUGAACGAUGAAGGUUUUCGGAUCGUAAAGUUCUGUUGUUAGGGAAGAACCGCCGGGAUGACCUCCCGGUCUGACGGUACCUAACGAGAAAGCCCCGGCUAACUACGUGCCAGCAGCCGCGGUAAUACGUAGGGGGCAAGCGUUGUCCGGAAUUAUUGGGCGUAAAGCGCGCGCAGGCGGCUUCUUAAGUCAGGUGUGAAAGCCCACGGCUCAACCGUGGAGGGCCACUUGAAACUGG
rnacentral:rRNA from 1 species